rnacentral:lncRNA from 1 species
CUCCCAGAAUCCAGCUGAGCGCCUGGCGGCUCGCAGCGUGAGCUCGGUGGCGGUUUCCAAAGCUCGGUGUCAGAAAGCUGGUCAGCGUUUCAAAGGAGUGGAGAAGGAGCCAAUAACCGCUGUUUGUGCUGGCGUACGGAGAGAGGGAUUCAGCGAGGGCGCCAAGUGACGACGGGGUAACCUCAAAAAGAAGAAGAAGAAGGAAAGAAGGAUCAGGUUCUGGAACUUUCUGUCUUUACCAGCAGAUGUUUGAGUGGGCGUUUGAUUUAAAGGGACAUGACACCAUUUACUGACUGUAGACAUAUGACCUGACAGACUCUCUGCUUGUCAGUUUCUUUAACAAAGAGACUAAACACAACUCACCUACUCUCUUCCAGCAGACGCUUGUUUGUAGAGAGACCUCAGGCCAGUCCAUUAUGGACUACAGCGGGGUGCCGCAGCUCAAGGAAGAACAUUUAUGAUCAUUUCUUUAUCAUUUCCUUGAAGUAAUAAUCACCAUAUUAAUCAUUUUACAGACGCGGUAGUUCUUCUGUCUUAGCGUCUCUGAUUGUAUUUCCAUGAAUGAUGUAUAGAUGUACAGAUGUAUAGAUGUACAGAUGUAUAGAUGUACAGAUGUAUAGAUGUACAGAUGUAUAGAUGUUUUUAUGUAUAAAGGUAUAGAUGUAUAGAUGUUCAGAUGUAUAGAUGUACGAUGUAUAGAUGUAUAGAUGUUCAGAUGUAUAGAUGUACAGAUGUAUAGAUGUACAGAUGUAUAGAUGUUUUUAUGUAUAAAGGUAUAGAUGUAUAGAUGUACAGAUGUAUAGAUGUACGAUGUAUAGAUGUAUAGAUGUACGAUGUAUAGAUGUACAGAUGUAUAGAUGAUAGAUAUAUAGAUGUAUAGAUGUACGAUGUAUAGAUGUUUAAAUGUACGUAUAUAGAUAUACAGAUGUAUAGAUGUACGAUGUAUAGAUGUAUAGAUGUACGAUGUAUAGAUGUAUAGAUGUUUAAAUGUACCGUAUAUAGAUAUACAGAUGUAUAGAUGUAUAGAUGUUCAGAUGUAUAGAUGUACGAUGUAUAGAUGUAUAGAUGUUUAAAUGUACCGUAUAUAGAUAUACAGAUGUAUAGAUGUACAAAUGUAUAGAUGUAUAGAUGUACGAUGUAUAGAUGUACAGAUGUAUAGAUUUUCAAUGUGUAGAUGAUAGAUAUAUAGAUGUAUAGAUGUACAUUUGCAUAAAUGUUUGAUGUAUAUCAUAAAUGUUCUUCCUUGAGCUGCGUCACCCCGCUGUAGUCCCUAUUGGACUGGCCUGAGGUCUCACUGUGACCCUAUAUGUCCUGUUGAUGAAGUUAGGUGCUGUUCUGAGCAUUAUUUGUGUCUAUAGAGUGGCGUUUUGGUUGGGGGCGUGGCUCUCUGUAUUUCUAUCCUGCGGUCGUUACUAAAGUUGGUAUAACUAGAGAAGUAAGUGGUCGACAACAUUCAUCUCUGGAGGGGGGCGGGGUCUAACUCGGGGUUACGGUGUGUUUGACCCUAAAUUAAUUUAACGUCAGAAUAUCCCUUUAACUCUGAAGAAAACUGCAAACUGUAACUUCAUGUGUGUGUGUGUGUGUGUGCGCGUGUGUGUGUGUGUGUUUCUCACCGUGUCCCAGGUGGUGACGGAUCUCAGCAGCAGACGGAUCGAUGGUCGGGGGGGGGUGCAGAGGCAGGGGUCGCUCGGUCCCCAGGGGUCCCCUCGAUGACAUCUCCCGCCGCAGCUCGCCGGCCGGCCGCCAGCUCGGGUCAGCCGUCCCAGCAGGCCGUUGGCUCUGGCAGCAGUUACCAAGGUGACAGCAUGUCAGCGCGGCCCCGCAGCGCCGGCUGAGGGGAGGGGGGGGGCCCGAUGCAUCACCGGCUCUGAUGGGUUUGUCAAUACCGCUUAGAUCCACGGGGAGCCGGGCCUGAAAUGACACACACACACACACACACACACACACACACACACACACACACACACACACACACACACACACACACACA